AAAAAAAAAAAAAAAAAAAAAAAAAAAAAAUGAUCAUAAGUAUGGAAAACAGAAUGAAUAUGCCGGGACUGAGAAAUGGAAAAAGUGUUGAGGUGAAAGCCUGUGAUUAAAAUAUCUUUCAAAGGCAGUGCUAUAUUAGUUUUAGAAAGGCUGUGUAUUUGGGUGAGUGGUUUCUUUGGGAAUGGGGGAAUAACAGGACAAACUUAGUCACUAGGGUCAUUAGGAUCACUAGCCAUGUCUAAGCACCCGGUCAGUUUUGCUUUAAAGCUUACUGUAAGCUGUGACCUGAGGGACAAUCCUAAAAGAAAACACAUCCAGUACACAGACUUGUUUCCUAAAUAAUGUUGAGAGUCCAGAUGUUUUGGUCUUUUUCUAUUGUCUCUAUACUUUUAACUGGUCUGUAAGAACUUAACAGCUGGCUGUUAGCUAGCUGAUACAUUAGCUUUCCUCAGUUGCCUAGCAACACUGUUAUUACGGGGUAAUUUUCAUUAUAUGAAGUCUUCUCUUAAUAAUUUACAAAGACUUCUGAGGGAAAUGCUGAUAUUCCUCAUGAUUUUGUCUUGUUUCCACUUUCCAUAAAAUAUAGCCUCAGCCAUUACCUAGCUUGUACUCAGUGUCCAUAUUUCUCAACUGAUUAGCAAAGUUGUUAAAACAAUGUCAUUUUAGUUGUCCAGAUUUUUUCUGAAUAAUUUACUGUCUCUUCUGAGGGAAAUGUUUAUUUUAAUGAUUGUUUUGUCUUGUUUUCACUGUAUCUAUGCCUUUACAUGGUUAAUGGGGGAAAAACAUAACCACAAGAUGCUAGCUAGCUAGCUAAUCAGCCUCAGCCUUAACUACCUUGUACUCCGUGUCCAUAUUUCUCAACUGAUUAGCAAAGUUGUUAUAACAGUGUCAUUUUAGUUGUGCAGAUUCUCUACUGAGGGAAAUGUUUACGUUCCUGUUUGUUUUGUCUUGUUUUUAUGGUAUUUACUGCCUUUACAUGGUUAGUGGGGGGAAAACACAAUCACAAUAUUCUAGCUAGCUAACUAGCCUUAACUAGCUUAUGCUUGGUAUGUAUAACUUCCCAAGCAAAAGUCUUCUAAAAAAAACUUUAACAUUCUGAAUGGUGAAAGUACUUAUUUUACCUUUCCAUGUCAAAGGAACAAAUUCAAUUUGAACCUACAACAGCAACAAUAGUUAUAGUAGUAAUAUACACAGAACACCCAGAAAAUCUGACAGACUGAAUGUUUUAAGAAAUAAUCGAUUCUUUCCUAAACAAUGAAUGUUUAGGACGGAAAACAUUCAAGAACUGUGAGAUUUAUAAUGAACCAAACAAUCUACUAACCUAAAACUGUCAUUGUUCUUAUCCUUACAUCUAACAUCACAGAUGUUACAUCACAGUAUAAGUGUUGCCAUUUUGAGGACCAAAUAGGAGAUUGACUGUGUCAAUGUUAUUGUGUCUGUGCUUCAUUAAGAAGAUUCAUUUUCAUUUAUACUGAUAAUCAACUGCCUUAGUACACUUAACUAUGUAAAAUACAUCUUCAACAAGCAUCAGUGAAGUGGUCCUCCCUGUCAUACUGCCUCCUUGCUAUGUUAACUAACUAGGUAUGUUAUGGGGCUACUAGGAAUUUUAUCUCAGUUGUAAGCAUCACUAACAAAGUUACUAAUAUCAAGUUACAUUCCCUAUCAUUUUUCUCGUCUGAUAAAACACCCUGGGAUUUUACUCAGCCAGACAUAAAUGCUUUGAUACAUACUACACUCUACAGUUUUCUGUUAGCUAAAAUGGAAUCAGCAGUUCAGAGUAAAGUAGACAAGGAUCAGUUAUUGUCUUGUGAAGCAGGAUAAGUAAUUUUAGCCAUCCUUCAUCUCUCAGUUACAUUCUUGUUGCACAAUGAAGCUAGAAUCUCGGCCCCUAAUAUGGCAAUCACAAUACAAAAGUCACGUAACUUCAACUGUGAUCCUCAAUCUGUAAACACCUGGGCAUGCGUGAUUAGUUAAAUACUGGAAGAAAAAAAAAACAGGAGGUUCCCUCCUUAAAAUAGCAUGGGCAAUGUGAGUUAUUCUGUGCAGAGCAUUCCAGAGCAUGAACACUUUUCCUGGCAGUGAUCGCUGCUGGAGACAAAUAAAACAUAAGAUAAGACACAGGGGGUGGGUGAGAGGGGAAAAAUGAGGCUGAACUGAUUUCCAUUCAGCUUGAGUGAAGAGAAAGAGAGAGAGAGAAAAAUCUGAGAAAGUGAUGUCGGGGGUGGGGUGGGGGGGUUGGUGUCUUAGGGAAAAGGAGAGAAGGAGAGAAGGAGAGAGAGAAAGCAGGAGAGAUCACUGACAGAAGUUAAAGUAGCACUAUCACUCUGACAGAUUGAUCUACACACUGCUGCCCACGACCACAGCUGCAUCCACAACCAGUAUACAACGUAGUCCCCGUGCAAUACACAGACACACAGAGACACACACACACGCACUCAGCAUUUCACAUUCAGAACGUCCACCCACACACAGCCGAGCCCAGAUUGGACAACUUUUCCCUCUAGAGCCUUUUUCACACACACACUUUUAUCUUUUAUUAUUCAGGAAGGGGUUAUGUGUUUGCCUCGAACCUUGGGGUUGGGGCUUCGAAUCCCGCCUCCACCCCAUGUGUGCUGAGUUUACAUGUUCUCCCUGUGCUUCAGGGUUUUCCUCUAGGUACUCCGAUUUCCUCCCUCAGUCCAAAGACAUGCGUUGUAGGCUGACUGGCAUUUCCAAAUUGUCGGUAGCAUGUGAAUGGAUGUGUGAGUGUGCAUGUGAUUGUGUCCUGUGAUGGGUUGGCAUGCUGUCCAGGGUGUCUCCUGCCUUGUGCCCCAAGUCCCCUGGGAUAGACUCCAGACUCCCUGUGACCUUGUGUAGGAUAAGCAGUAUGGAAAAAAUAUGGAUGGUCACCAUUAUGAACUGAAUGUUUUGUGGUUGGUUGGUUUCCACUACAAUACAGAUUAGGUUACAAGCCAGUUCGUCCUAUACAAAUCUGCUGUGUGAUGUUCACAUUUAUAUUUGCAUUUAGUCAUAUGGCAGACGAUUUGAUCUAGAUCAACUUACAAAAAUGAUAAAAAGAUGAUAUCAAGUACUACAAAAUAAAGCACUAAGAGGUUCUGUAAUGAUCUAU
ensembl:lncRNA